CCUACGGGAGGCAGCAGUGGGGAAUAUUGGACAAUGGGCGAAAGCCUGAUCCAGCCAUGCCGCGUGUGUGAAGAAGGUCUUCGGAUUGUAAAGCACUUUAAGUUGGGAGGAAGGGCAGUAAGCGAAUACCUUGCUGUUUUGACGUUACCGACAGAAUAAGCACCGGCUAACUCUGUGCAAGCAGCCGCGGUAAUACAGAGGGUGCAAGCGUUAAUCGGAAUUACUGGGCGUAAAGCGCGCGUAGGUGGUUUGGUAAGUUGGAUGUGAAAGCCCCGGGCUCAACCUGGGAACUGCAUUCAAAACUGGCAAGCUAGAAUACAGUAGAGGGUGGUUGAAUUUCCUUUGGAGCGUUGAAAUGCGUAGAUAUAGGAAGGAGCACCAGUGGCGAAGGCGACCACCUGGACUGAUACUGACACUGAGGUGCGAAAGCGUGGGGAGCAAACAGGAUUAGAUACCCGAGUAGUC
rnacentral:rRNA from 1 species